CCCUUAGAUGUUCUGGGCCGCACGCGCGCUACACUGAUGCAUUCAACGAGCACACGCUUGGCCGAGAGGUCAGGCUAAUCUUUGAACGUGCAUCGUGCUGGGGAUAGAUGAUUGCAAUUAUUCAUCUUCAACGAGGAAUUCCUAGUAAACGCAAGUCAUCAGCUUGCAUUGAUUACGUCCCUGCCCUUUGUACACACCGCCCGUCGCACCUACCGAUUGAAUGGUCCGGUGAAAUUCUCGGACGUGAACGACAGAUGUUCAUUCGGAUGUCGUUUGUGAAAGUUAAUUAAACCUUACCAUUUAGAGGAAGGUGAAGUCGUAACG
rnacentral:rRNA from 1 species